rnacentral:tRNA from 1 species
GCUUUGAUCCCAUAAACCUUUAGUUAACAACUAAAAACCCAAACCAGCGGGCUUCAAUCUACUUCUCCCGUUAUAAAAAACGGGAGAAGCCCCGGCAC